GACGAACGCUGGCGGCGUGCCUAACACAUGCAAGUCAACUUGACUGAAGGAGCAAUCUGACAGUAGAGUGGCGCAAGGGUGCGUAACGCGUAAGUAACUUGCCCCAAGGUAAGGAAUAACGUCGAGAAAUCGGCGCUAAUACCUCAUAAUGCAGCGGAUCCGCAUGGAUAUGUUGUUAAAGGUUUACCGCCUUGGGAUAGGCUUGCGUCUGAUUAGUUAGUUGGUGUGGUAACGGCACACCAAGGCUACGAUCAGUAACUGGUCUGAGAGGAUGAUCAGUCACACUGGAACUGAGACACGGUCCAGACUCCUACGGGAGGCAGCAGUGAGGAAUAUUGGGCAAUGCUCGAAAGAGUGACCCAGCAACGCCGCGUGGAGGAUGAAGGUAUUCUAUAUCGUAAACUCCUGUGAGAGCAGACGAAAGACAGAUUAUUAAUCUGGAUGACUGUAUGCUCAGAGGAAGUCCCGGCUAAC
rnacentral:rRNA from 1 species